UUAUGGCCAUAUCACAUUGAAACACUGUUUCUCAUACAAUCACCAAAGUUAAGUGACAUUAAGCCUGGUUAGUACCUAGAUGGUUGACAACUUGAGAAUACCAGGUGCUGUAAU